rnacentral:rRNA from 1 species
AGAGUUUGAUUCUGGCUCAGGAUGAACGCUAGCGGCAGGCUUAACACAUGCAAGUCGAGGGGCAACGCGAGUAGCAAUACUUGGCGGCGACCGGCGCAAGGGUGCGUAACGCGUGAGCAACAUGCCCGUAUCAGGGGGAUAAUCCAGGGAAACUUGGUCUAAUACCCCAUAGUAAUUUUGUAAGGCAUCUUAUAAGAUUUAAAGCUUUGGUGGAUACGGAUUGGCUCGCGUGACAUUAGCUGGAUGGUAAGGUAACGGCUUACCAUGGCUAUGAUGUCUAGGGGUUCUGAGAGGAAGGUCCCCACACUGGAACUGAGACACGGUCCAGACUCCUACGGGAGGCAGCAGUGAGGAAUAUUGGACAAUGGAUGGAAAUCUGAUCCAGCCAUGCCGCGUGAAGGAAGAAGGUCCUAUGGAUUGUAAACUUCUUUUGUAUGGGAGCAAUAAGGCCUACGAGUAGGUUGAUGAGAGUACCAUACGAAUAAGCACCGGCUAACUCCGUGCCAGCCGCAGC